ensembl:lncRNA
UUGAGUAGAGCUAGCAUGUAUUAACUAUUGAGAUACCUGAGUGAUGUCCAGAAGGGGGUAGCCGUUCUUUGUCUGCUCUGCAUUGGGUUUAGGCCUUUGGAGCAAGCCAAACAAAAAAAACAUGUCAAAUAUUUUGUUUCCCUGGUCUCUGUUUACGUAUGUCUAUUGACCUAGAAGUUCACCAUGUCUAGGUUUUAAAUAAAAGGCAUUACAAAUACUUUGGUGCAAUCAUACACAAACGGCUUUGAUUUCGUGUAUCCAUUCCAAUCAAUCAGAGACCAGCCAGAUACAUCAAUGUUAAUAAACAAAUCUGUACCUAAAAUGGUUGACCAGUUGUAUCAGCAGCUUGACUGAAAGGGGUCCCAGUACACUUGCCUCUCUUUCCCCCCCCCCCAAUAUAAAACAAGCAGGUUAACUAUUAAAAUCAGAUGGAAAACUCACCUAGACACACCAUUCAUGUGUCUCUUCCGCAGAAGUACCAGAAACAAGACCAGAAGCACCACCAGAGGCACUACCAGUAACCAGAACAGCUUUGUUUUAUCAAAAGGCUGCAAGUCUGAAAAUACAAGAGUUCAGUUAAAGCCCUAUUUUAAUGUAAGAAAUACUCAGUGGUUAUAGUUGCUUCAGUAUUCAAAGUCCUAUGUUCUUGAGUUAAUUUAGUCAAAUUUGUAGUUUUCGGAACAGCAGUUCUCAACCUGCUACCUAUGACCUAUGUGUUUUGAAGAAUCUGACUACUUUUAGUUAGGCUACAGCCACCAAACCAUGCUACACAGAUUUACCCUUUAAGUAAAGGAACACUUCAUGUGUUCUGUUAUAAAGGAAUUGAAGCCACCUGUCGCUCAACAUUUUAAUGAGGUAGGUCACAACAUCUGUUUUAGGGCAUCAAGUGGUGUGGAAUUUUAGAAAGAGACAUUUAAGGGAGGCCUUUUGGAUCUUUAAGCUCUUAACGGUUUUCCCUUCAGGACUUAAUAGAAUUAAUUGAUUUAAAGUUGUUUUUUGUGAUCAGCCUCUCAAAGCUAUGAUAUUGGGUGGAUAACUAUAUUGGAUUGCUGUGAGUAUGCCGGUGAUGGUGGUAGUGGUUGAUGAAGUUGGUGACAAUUAUGAUAAUUGCUUAGGUUCUGUUUGUCUUAUGCUUGUUCUUUGGAUAUUGUUCAUUUGGAUAUUGGAUCAUAUAAUUUGAUUUGCUUGUUUUAUCGUAUCUUUAUUUUUAACUGCUAUAAUAAAUAUGCCCCAGCCUCUUCCAUAAUAUCCCGUGACCAAAAUCCACACAACUGAAUUUCACCAUGCUUCCAUGUAAUGCCAGACAUCGUGCUAAUAACUGCCAAUACUGACUGUCCAAUACUAAAGUUUUAGGUUUGGAAAAUGUAGAAAUAGAAUGCUAUUAUGAAUUACACAACAGUUAGGUCCAGUGGAACAAUUUCUUAAUUUCUGAUUGUACAAAAGGCAUUUCAUGAGAGGGGAUAUCUUGGCACAACCUCACUUGGACUCUUCACCGCUAGUAAUCACGCCGCGUUUGAUAUACUUCGACCAUUAACUGGUAGGACAUCAACAUUCCAUCCAUUCAAAGAGCAGAACUGCAGGCUGCAAUUUUAUAACGCUACAUUUGACAGUUACCAAGUGAGGAGCAUGAGUAGGGGAAUGGAG